AGUUUCGAGUAUGUGUAGAUUGCAAAUCUAACGUUUGGUAUAUGCCAGCCGGAACUU
rnacentral:tRNA from 1 species